rnacentral:lncRNA from 1 species
GGCUCUGCUGAGAGAUGAGGCUUUGGCCUUGUCCUCUCUAGAGGAGGUGCCUUUUCUGCUCUUCCCAGCACUGUUCAAGGAGGCCUUUGCAGGCUGUGCUAGAUGGAAUAGACAUGCGACUGACAAGAGAAUCUCACCCCAGGGGAAAACUUCAGGUUCUGGACCUGAGGAAUGUGCACCAUGCCUUCUGGGACAUAUGGGCUGGUGCAGAGGAUGGUAGCUGUUCUUCAGAGCCCUUGGAUGAGAGGCCUACAGUAGUGAAGGUCCUUCGCAGAUAUGCAAGGAGGAGGCAGCUGAAGGUGGUAGCUGACCUGUGCCUCAGUCCCCACCAUGAUGAAACACAAGCAUACUUCUUGAAGUGGGCCCAGGAGAGAAAGGACUCCCUACAUUUGUGCUGUAUAAACAUGAAGAUCUGGACUAUGCUCCUGGACUUUGUCUUAGAGAUUUUGAAUGUCUUUCAUCCAGAGCACAUCGAGGAAUUCAAACUGAACACUGAGUGGAAUGUGUUCAAUCUGGCCUGUUUUGCUCCCUGCUUCUGGCAGAUGAGAAAUCUUUGCAAACUUUUCCUGGCACCCCUCUAU